GGGGAAUAUUGCGCAAUGGGGGGAACCCUGACGCAGCCAUGCCGCGUGAAUGAAGAAGGCCUUAGGGUUGUAAAGUUCUUUCGGUAUUGAGGAAGGUUGAUGUGUUAAUAGCACAUCAAAUUGACGUUAAAUACAGAAGAAGCACCGGCUAACUCCGUGCCAGCAGCCGCGGUAAUACGGAGGGUGCGAGCGUUAAUCGGAAUAACUGGGCGUAAAGGGCACGCAGGCGGUUAUUUAAGUGAGGCGUGAAAGCCCCGGGCUUAACCUGGGAAUUGCAUUUCAGACUGGGUAACUAGAGUACUUUAGGGAGGGGUAGAAUUCCACGUGUAGCGGUGAAAUGCGUAGAGAUGUGGAGGAAUACCGAAGGCGAAGGCAGCCCCUUGGGAAUGUACUGACGCUCAUGUGCGAAAGCGUGGGGAGCAAACAGGAUUAGAUACCCUGGUAGUCCACGCUGUAAACGCUGUCGAUUUGGGGGUUGGGGUUUAACUCUGGCGCCCGUAGCUAACGUGAUAAAUCGACCGCCUGGGGAGUACGGCCGCAAGGUUA
rnacentral:rRNA from 1 species